rnacentral:rRNA from 1 species
UACGUAGGCAGCGAGCGUUGUUCGGAAUUACUGGGCGUAAAGAGUGUGUAGGCGGUGCUCUAAGUUCGGUGUGAAAUCUCCCGGCUUAACUGGGAGGGUGCGCCGGAAACUGGAGUGCUCGAGCGUAGGAGAGGAAAGCGGAAUUCCUGGUGUAGCGGUGAAAUGCGUAGAGAUGUGGAGGAACACCAGUGGCGAAGGCGACUCUCUGGGCUGUAACUGACGCUGAGGCGCGAAAGCGUGGGUAGCAAACAGG